GCUUGUUUGGAGGGAGCCUCUCUGCAGAAUUUUGCCCCGUCCUUCACUUAUCCACCCAUUCCUGCAGGGCUGCCUAGCCUGAGCCCAAGACGGAAGAUGACUUUAUUCCAUGGACUGAUGCACUCCAGCUGCCAGAUCCAGGGGAUUUUACCCUUAUUGCAAGAGUGAGAGGGGCAGGGAUGGGAUAUUGCCUUCCAUUGAUACAAAGCAGCAGCCUCUGUCCCUGGGGAGCUGGCGGCCGAUGGGGCUCCUGCCACCGCAGGGAUGUGGAAUUUGCGCUGGUCAGACGCGUGCGCGGAGGAAGGAAGAGCGGAGAGGUGCCC